UACAGAGGGUGCAAGCGUUAAUCGGAAUUACUGGGCGUAAAGCGUGCGUAGACGGUCAUGUAAGUCGGGUGUGAAAGCCCCGGGCUCAACCUGGGAAUUGCAUUCGAGACUGCAUGGCUAGGGUGCGGAAGAGGGAAGCGGAAUUUCCGGUGUAGCGGUGAAAUUCGUAGAUAUUGGGAAGAACACCGGUGGCGAAGGCGGCAACCUGGUCCUUUACUGACGCUGAGGCGCGAAAGCGUGGGGAGCAAACAGG
rnacentral:rRNA from 1 species